rnacentral:lncRNA from 1 species
GGGUUUGGGCGCGCAUCGAACUCUGAAGGGUCGGGAAGGCCUGUCGUUGGAAUGUGGUUGAGUUCCAGGGAGUGUACAGGCUGGAGGAUGGGACAAGACCUAUCUCUGUAUCGAUCAAGCACGGCGUUGGUGUUCCAGCUCAUCACCAAUCCUAAGGAAUUCAAGUGCCUCCCAGGAUGAAUACAGGUAAUUUUUCCAACUGGGGCAUUGGGGUGGCCUCUGUUGUUCCCCACAGAGCAAAUGGGCAGUGAAGCAGUGUUACCUUUUUGCUCCUUCAGUUUCUUCCUUUUGCAAUGAUUUUCCUGGGGAGGGAGACAGCAAGCAGCACAGUUGGUUCUGUGAGGGUGUUCUCUUCCUUCACACAUAUGUCACUGUCAGAUGAUUUGAAUUGACAAUGCUGAUCCUCUGUGAGGUCCAACACUUAAUAGCAUGUUAGAGUUCUGAUGGCAGUUUACAUGAAUGAAAAAGUGUUAUCUUGUGAUAGUAUUUAAAAAUAACCAUUUGCUGCUGUUCUGCAGGUUGUCUUGAUGGUGAUACAUUCAUCUGUCUUAAGAUCCCUGCUGAUCUGCUCAUGGUCAAACUCCUGGAAAGAGUUGAGAGUGGGGCACCUUGUUCCUGCAUCCUCAAAGGAGCAUCUUGUUCCUCCAUUUAAGCUUCCAGAGUUAAAAGGUUAGUUGAUUAAUGUCACCAUAAUAUAUGCCACCAAGUAAGCAGUUUCUGUGAUGAAUCAAACUAGCUCACUAUGAACUAACAAUGAAAAGAUAUGAACACCUGAGAAACUGGAGAACAGAGCAGUGGGAUACUGUCUGCUAGGAACUUAAUAUCACUUACAGUUUUGUCCUUUCCUAGGUACCUGUACCAUUUAGCGGCUUGUUCACUCAAAGGUGAGUGAUUUAUAUGUUGGUGCAUACCGUGUACUGAGGGAGAAAAUGCCUUUUUAGGCAUCUACACAUGAUGACUUACAUGGAAUCUCGUUCGGCUGAUGAUUUGCUGUUGAGACUCGGAAAUCUGAUUUUUUUUUUCUUUUAAGAACUUAAGUGGGAACAAAUUUUAAUGUAGGAAGUAAGCAUUACUGACUCAUUCUUGUUUUGUUUUAGAUCCAUCUUGUCUGGAGCCUGAGGAUGAUUGGAGGUGAAAGGUGUAAGCCAUACUCUGCUCAACUCCAGUCUGAAACUGAGGUUUAAAGAACACAUACUUAACACACGGGUGGGAAUCCAACUCUUGGAGGACAUCAGAAGUGGAAUUUUCUUAUACAACCUACCUAUUCAAAUUAGCAUAUAAUCUUUCUAGCCUUUCUAAAUAAAUAAAGGGAUUUUUUUGUAA